rnacentral:rRNA from 1 species
GAUGAACGCUGGCGGCGUGCCUAAUACAUGCAAGUCGAACGAGUUCUCGUUGAUGAUCGGUGCUUGCACCGAGAUUCAACAUGGAACGAGUGGCGGACGGGUGAGUAACACGUGGGUAACCUGCCCUUAAGUGGGGGAUAACAUUUGGAAACAGAUGCUAAUACCGCAUAGAUCCAAGAACCGCAUGGUUCUUGGCUGAAAGAUGGCGUAAGCUAUCGCUUUUGGAUGGACCCGCGGCGUAUUAGCUAGUUGGUGAGGUAACGGCUCACCAAGGCGAUGAUACGUAGCCGAACUGAGAGGUUGAUCGGCCACAUUGGGACUGAGACACGGCCCAAACUCCUACGGGAGGCAGCAGUAGGGAAUCUUCCACAAUGGACGCAAGUCUGAUGGAGCAACGCCGCGUGAGUGAAGAAGGCUUUCGGGUCGUAAAACUCUGUUGUUGGAGAAGAAUGGUCGGCAGAGUAACUGUUGUCGGCGUGACGGUAUCCAACCAGAAAGCCACGGCUAACUACGUGCCAGCAGCCGCGGUAAUACGUAGGUGGCAAGCGUUAUCCGGAUUUACUGGGCGUAAAGCGAGCGCAGGCGGUUUUUUAAGUCUGAUGUGAAAGCCCUCGGCUUAACCGAGGAAGCGCAUCGGAAACUGGGAAACUUGAGUGCAGAAGAGGACAGUGGAACUCCGUGUGUAGCGGUGAAAUGCGUAGAUAUAUGGAAGAACACCAGUGGCGAAGGCGGCUGUCUGGUCUGUAACUGACGCUGAGGCUCGAAAGCAUGGGUAGCGAACAGGAUUAGAUACCCUGGUAGUCCAUGCCGUAAACGAUGAAUGCUAGGUGUUGGAGGGUUUCCGCCCUUCAGUGCCGCAGCUAACGCAUUAAGCAUUCCGCCUGGGGAGUACGACCGCAAGGUUGAAACUCAAAGGAAUUGACGGGGGCCCGCACAAGCGGUGGAGCAUGUGGUUUAAUUCGAAGCAACGCGAAGAACCUUACCAGGUCUUGACAUCUUUUGAUCACCUGAGAGAUCAGGUUUCCCCUUCGGGGGCAAAAUGACAGGUGGUGCAUGGUUGUCGUCAGCUCGUGUCGUGAGAUGUUGGGUUAAGUCCCGCAACGAGCGCAACCCUUAUGACUAGUUGCCAGCAUUUAGUUGGGCACUCUAGUAAGACUGCCGGUGACAAACCGGAGGAAGGUGGGGAUGACGUCAAAUCAUCAUGCCCCUUAUGACCUGGGCUACACACGUGCUACAAUGGAUGGUACAACGAGUUGCGAGACCGCGAGGUCAAGCUAAUCUCUUAAAGCCAUUCUCAGUUCGGACUGUAGGCUGCAACUCGCCUACACGAAGUCGGAAUCGCUAGUAAUCGCGGAUCAGCACGCCGCGGUGAAUACGUUCCCGGGCCUUGUACACACCGCCCGUCACACCAUGAGAGUUUGUAACACCCGAAGCCGGUGGCGUAACCCUUUUAGGGAGCGAGCCGUCUAAGGUGGGACAAAUGAUUAGGGUGAAGUCGUAACAAAGGUAACC